UAACACCAGCGCCACGAGUGGGGAUCCUGUUAUUUGGCCUAAAGCGUCCGUAGCUGGUUAAGUAAAUCUCUUGUGAAAUUGUUCAGCUUAACUGAACAGCGUGCAGGAGAGACUGCUUGACUAGGGACUGGGAGGAGUUAGAGGUAUGCUGGGGGGAGCGGUAAAAUGCUAUAAUCCCCGGUGGACCACCUGUGGCGAAGGCGUCUAACUAGAACAGGUCCGACAGUGAGGGACGAAAGCCAGGGGAGCAAACCGGAUUAGAUACCCGAGUAGUCCUGGCUGUAAACUCUGCGAACUAGGUGUUGCACAUUUUUCGUGAAUGUGCAGUGUCGAAGCGAAGGCGUUAAGUUCGCCGCCUGGGAAGUACGGUCGCAAGACUG
rnacentral:rRNA from 1 species